AAUUAUUAUUAGAUUUUUAAAUAAUUAUUCACGAAAUAAAUUGAGCUAAAUUUUUGGUAUUUUUGGAAAUUAUAACUAUAUGUUACAAAAUAUAUUAACUAAAUAGAUUUAGGGGUGAAAGGCCUAUCAAAUUUUAUGAUAUCUUGAAGUAUAUAAAAUAUAUCAAGUAUUUCUAAUUCAACUAUUGAAUGUUUAGGUUCAGUAGUAACAUUAUAUUUUUUAAAAAAUUGUUCAAUUUUUUUAAGUAAAAUUGAGUUAGAGCAUAAAAUAUACAUCAAAUUUUUAUUAUAUGAAUAUAAAUAUACUACGGUUAUUAAUAAAUAUAAUCAUAUAUAAUGUAAUUAUUAGUAAUAGUUUAUUAAACUAUAUAAAGGAAUUCGGCAAGAAAAUUUUUCACCUGUUUAUCAAAAACAUAGCUUAUUGAAUAUCAUAAUAAGUAACCCCUGCUCAAUGGAAAUCUAAAUAGCCGCAGUACCUUGACUGUGCAAAGGUAGCAUAAUCAAUUGGCUUAUAAUUGAAGUCUGGAAUGAAUGGGUAAUCUGGAAAAUAACUGUCUUUAUUUGUAGUAUUUUGAAUUUACUUAUAAAGUGAAAAUACUUUAAUAUAAAUAUAAGACGAGAAGACCCUAGAAAUUUUUUGUUAAUAACUUUUGUUGGGGCGACAGGGUAACAUAUAAACUUACUUACAUUUAUAUAAAUCUUAUAAGGUAUGUAACUAAAUUACUCUAGGGAUAACAGCAUAAUAUAUAAAAGUUUAUGACCUCGAUGUUGGACUAGGUAAUUAAAUAUUUAAAAGAUAUCUUAAUUUGCUCUGUUCGAGCAGUAUCACCUACAU
rnacentral:rRNA from 1 species